rnacentral:hammerhead_ribozyme from 1 species
AUCCAGAUGACGAGUCUCGGAUAGGACGAAACGCGCGUCCUGGAU